rnacentral:piRNA from 1 species
GCACACUUUACAGCAAUGUCCUAGCUAC